CCAGAUGUGUACACUGAUACACAGCACCACUGGACACUGUAGAGAACCCACGUGUUUCAUAAAUAAAUCAUGCUAAAAUUGUCAUAUUAUGAUUUUUUUAAAUUAUUUGAUUAUUAUUAUAUUUAGGGGGGUUUCUCCUAUUUUUAAUCAUUUAUAUUAUUAUUAUUUUUUAAUUUUAUUAUUUAAACCCAUCCAUAUGUGUACAUUGAUGCAUAUGUGAGUAGUCAUUUUUUCUGAUUAUUUUUUAAGUUUUUUUUUUUUUUAAUCUAUUUAUCUAUAUACAAAUUAUUUUAUAUAUAAUAAGUUUUGCACUUUACCAAAGAUUGGCAUUACACCAUUACUCCAUUUAAAAAAAAAGUAAGGCUUUUUUCAUUUCAAAAUGUUUCUCGUUACAUAAUUGACAUUAUUUCAUACAUGAUAUAUGAGUAUAUUAUAUAAUUGCCAAGAAGGUGCUUGCGUGAAGCUCAUUCGUGCAAGACCCUGCUCCUGAUUUUUAUCAGCUCCUCAAUCAUUGGUUUCAAUCUCCAUAUAUCUCAUGUGAGGAUGGCACCAGCAGACAUGUUGUGGCAGAUAUGGCAUGUCCAGAUAGACUUGUUUCUGGCCAGGUGAAAGCCAAGGCAGUGACUAUGGCUGAGAGACAGCCUGGUGCUGCCAUCCGCAGGUGAGGUCACUGGGUUCAGUGAGUGCACAGCACUUGGAUGAUGGUCACUGGAGACAUCUGAGGCUCUGAUGACACAAACCUGGCCAACUUCACCCACCUCUAAUGUCACGUCUCCUCUCUUCCCGGCCAGACCUCCAAAGAGGGCUUAGUGCUUGCGUGCUGUAUUCGUGUGUGUAUGCCAGACUGCUCAGAAGGAUGUAACUGGAGCGCUCUGUCAGUGCAGGGGGAGGCCAUAGUGCUGCUGCCUGUCUCUUUUGGGGUCAGAGGGGAAAUGGUGCAGGACUUACACAGCUGCCAGUUCCAACCACAGACAUGGGAGAGACUCAGCAACUCACUCCAGUCUCUAAAUUACCAUUGCUGCUGCCAAGAAGAGAUGCAAUGCGAUGUUCCCCUCCACCACUACCAAGCCUUCUCAUGUAGUGAAGACAAAGAACUUUCUGGACACAGUGACAACAUUUUGGGAGUUUAGACCGAAGACUCCCUUUUUAGGAUGCGACGAGCGAGUUGGUUUGUAAUUUAUAAUGUCUGUGUCUUAAGAGGCUAGUCAACUAGUAAAGACAUCAAAGUCUGUGCUGCAAUAAACAGUCUUUGAUCACCA
ensembl:lncRNA